rnacentral:rRNA from 1 species
GACGAACGCUGGCGGCGUGCUUAACACAUGCAAGUCGAACGAAGAGCGAUGGAAGCUUGCUUCUAUCAAUCUUAGUGGCGAACGGGUGAGUAACGCGUAAUCAACCUGCCCUUCAGAGGGGGACAACAGUUGGAAACGACUGCUAAUACCGCAUACGAUCUAAUCUCGGCAUCGAGGAUAGAUGAAAGGUGGCCUCUACAUGUAAGCUAUCACUGAAGGAGGGGAUUGCGUCUGAUUAGCUAGUUGGAGGGGUAACGGCCCACCAAGGCGAUGAUCAGUAGCCGGUCUGCGAGGAUGCACGGCCACAUUGGGCUUGGGACACGGCCCAGACUCCUACGGGUGGCAGCAGUGGGGGAUCUUCCGCAAUGGACGCAAGUCUGACGGAGCAACGCCGCGUGAGUGCUGACGGCCUUCGGGUUGUAAAGCUCUGUUAAUCGGGACGAAAGGCCUUCUUGCGAAUAGUGAGAAGGAUUGACGGUACCGGAAUAGAAAGCCACGGCUAACUACGUG